rnacentral:rRNA from 1 species
AGAGUUUGAUCAUGGCUCAGGACGAACGCUGGCGGCGCGCCUAACACAUGCAAGUCGAACGAGCGAGAGAGAGCUUGCUUUCUCGAGCGAGUGGCGAACGGGUGAGUAACGCGUGAGGAACCUGCCUCAAAGAGGGGGGACAACAGUUGGAAACGACUGCUAAUACCGCAUAAGCCCACAGGUCGGCAUCGACCAGAGGGAAAAGGAGCAAUCCGCUUUGAGAUGGCCUCGCGUCCGAUUAGCUAGUUGGUGAGGUAAUGGCCCACCAAGGCAACGAUCGGUAGCCGGACUGAGAGGUUGAACGGCCACAUUGGGACUGAGACACGGCCCAGACUCCUACGGGAGGCAGCA